UAACAAUUCAUGGAACAUCUGAUGAAGUUGUCGACUGUUCACAUGGGAAGCAAUUUUGGGAAUUGUGUAAAGAGAAGUAUGAACCUCUAUGUUGUCCUGUGCUAACAAUUUAUGGAACAUCUGAUGAAGUUGUUGACUGUUCACAUGGGAAGCAAUUUUGGGAAUUAUGUAAAGA